UACGUAGGUGGCAAGCGUUGUCCGGAUUUACUGGGCGUAAAGAGCGCGCAGGCGGUCGUUUCAAGUCGAGUGUGAAAGCCCCCGGCUCAACUGGGGAGGGUCACUCGAUACUGAUCGACUCGAAGGCAGAAGAGGGAAGCGGAAUUCACGGUGUAGCAGUGAAAUGCGUAGAUAUCGUGAGGAAGACCAGUGGCGAAGGCGGGUCGUCUGGACAGUUCCUGACACUGAGGCACGAAGGCCAGGGGAGCAAACGGGG
rnacentral:rRNA from 1 species